UACUAGAUUGCUAUUAGUAGCCUUUGUUCUGUACAUGCGCAUCGCUUGUUGCAAGGGGGAAUGAUUUAAAGACUGGACCAAUUUCCGAACUAACCAUGAUCGAGGUUGUUUGUAACGACCGCCUGGGGAAAAAAGUGAGAGUAAAAUGCAACUCAGAAGACACUAUUAAGGAUCUGAAGAAACUUAUUGCAGCGCAGACAGGCACACGUUGGGAAAAAAUUGUGCUGAAGAAAUGGUAUACAAUAUUCAAAGACCAUGUUUCUUUAAGUGACUAUGAAAUUCACGAUGGAAUGAACCUGGAAUUAUAUUACCAGUAACUUGAUGUGCCCUGUAUUCUGUAUGUGGUCUUACGUUGAGCAUGAAACCAUUUUUCCCUUCUCCGUUUGACAGUGGAAAGCCUACAAUUCUUCAGACUGCAGACGAUUUGGGCUUGUUGCGUUUUUGUUUUUUUUGUUGUUAAAAUGUAUUGGUCGCAUUAAACAAUUUAUAAAAAAAAUUCUAGUUUUGAUUAAUAUGAUUUUAAUGUAGGGAAAAAAAAUCCUCUCUUGGUAAGUUAGAUCAGUUUCUAAUUAAAAGAACCUCAUGAUGUAUGAAAAAAAGAUACGUAUAUGUGUAGUGUAAUAAGACUCAUGUGAUGAAUUUGUGAGCUAUCUUUUGAGUUUGGAUAUAACAGGUGACUUUAGAGGUUUCAUAAAUUAUGCUUAACGUUUCUAUUUAAAAAAAACCCUGCUGUGCCAUCAAUCUGGAAUACAGGUCAUGGGGCCCAUAAGUGUAUUUCAUUGGACAAGUAGAUUACACGAUAAGGAGGGUGGAGGUAAUUGCAGAAUCUUAAAUGAACAUUAAAUACUAAAUAAAUCAUUGCUUAAGAGAUUAGCUUGAGAAUAAUUUUUACAUGUAUUUUCAAAAAUUAUAUUGGUUGUUUAGCUUUGUCUGCACUUCCAUGUUUAACAUGAAUUGGAAAGCCCACAAUAUUCAGAAAUAAAUUACAGUAAAGGAGAACAAAAUAAAUAAUAAAAGUAUAUCGCAAAGUAGUUUUACUACACAUAGUUAAACAAUUUAUAUUAAUAUCUUGAGGUAUUUAAUGUCGCUUUAAAGGGACACCGAACUCAAUUUUUUUCUUUUGUGAUUCAGAUAGAGCAUGACAUUUUAAGCAACUUUAUAAUUUACUCCUAUUAUCAAAUUUUCUUUAUUCUCUUGGUAUCUUUAGAUGCCGGACCUUGUCCUUGCUGAUUGGUGGAUACAUUUGUCCACCAAUAAAAAAGUGUUGUCCAGAAUCUGAACCAAGAAAAAAAGCUGAUGCCUUUUUCAAAUAAAUAUAGCAAGAGAACAAAUAAAAAUUGAUAAUAGGAGUAAAUUAGAAAGUUGCUUAAAAUUGCAUGCUCUAUCUGAAUCACAAAAGAAAAAAAUUGGGUUCAGUGUCCCUUUAAGCUCAUCCAUUGAUAUAAACAUGUAAUUUUGAGAGUACUAGUCUUCCCUUUUAAAUGAAUUUAUGUUCAAGCUGUACAAAUUAAGGUGUUUAGUUUAAUACAGUUGCAUACAUAUUUAAUAGUUGAAGAAAAUGAUGCACUCUAUGUAUUUUAGAAAAGUAAUGUGUUCCUUUAAGAGACUAUUCUUAUAUAAUGCUGUUAUAACAAGGUGUACAAUUAGCCUAUUAUUUCUUUGUUUAGUGUAAAAUAAACGUGUUUUCAUGGCACUUUGAAUCUCA